UCAGUAUUGAUUAUGACGUCCCCAAGAAUCGAAUGCUCGCGUCAUUUUUGUCGCGUCACGAAAUCGCGAAAGACCGUGUCGCUUGCAGAUUUCAAUACAAAAACAUAAGGGAAACAGCAUUCGAACGGUGAAAUAUGCUAAUUUUAUAAAGUUUGUGUACUUGAUGGAGGUUUUGGGGUUAAAAUUUUGCAAGCCAAUGGUAAGUGUUUUAUAUAACAUGUAUUAUUGUUUCAUAUCAAAUUUCUUUCGUUAGAAAUUGCAAAUCAAAUACUGACCAAGUGUAAAUACCACGAGGCUCGGAGGCUGUCAUAGCUGCUGCAUAAAAUUUCGAAACUGAUUAUCAACUAAACAAACUGGCAUGUAAAUGUCUUGUUUCUCAUUUUAUUAAUAACAAAGUCAUGGUUUGGAUAUGUAAACCAUUCUCCAUUUUAAGGUUAACAUGUAGUAAUAUAAAUGUUCAAAUCUCAAUACAGUUCUGUCACUCAAAGCAAUCCAAGACAGUCUGUCGGUCAACAAUAUUGAAAUAUUAAAUUCAACAUAAUUCAUUUUCAUUCAGUUUUCAUAAGUGCUGAAUCUUGAUAUACUUUCUGUUUUUUUUCUUUUUCCUGUCUUUCUUGCUCUUAAUUCUUGGUUGUUGAACUUUAAAAUGCAAUGCAAACGCAUUUUUACAAAUAACUCAUUGAGGUACAUGCUUGGGAAAUAAGAACACUCUGAUACACAAAACAUUGGCAAUUUUGCAAUUAUGUGCUCUGCAAUUUUUGAUCUUUGGAUAUAACAACUAAGUUAAUCAACAACUUUGCUCUCUAUUUUCGUGACAUACUGAAUAAAUUCAUCUUGAGGACCAGUCAGUCCUCCAGAGUCAGUGCUCUUGUUUUCAUAAGCUUUAAAAUAGCACAGUAGCUGGCUGCUGUUGGUCAAGGUAAGCUUAUGUGCACAAGUAAGGCAUUUCUGUUUGUCCAGGCAUUUUCGCAGUAGGUAUCCUGCAACAUAUGUCAGUGCAUUCAUGGACAUUAAAUUCUUCUCAACUUCCUCAUGCUUGUAGUCUUUCUCGUCCAUUACAGGUCCUUUCUUGGUGUUCUUUUGAGUACCUGGACAAGGAUCUGACAAGUCUGAAUCAGCAGCAAUGGCAUAACUACUAUGGGCUCGGACCGGGCAAACCCGGGGGCCCCCAACCCCAAUGGGCCAAAUGGGGGCCCCCAGGCUCAGGCUGUAGAGCAAAAACAUUGGCCAGGGUUUCUGAUAUGUUAGAAUGUCGUUUUCUGACCAUCAGAAGUCUGUAAAAUCUCUCCCCAAAGUCUGGGAAAUGGCAUUUGAGAGAGUCUAGAUUCAAAAAUUUUCCAUGUGAGCAUGCCCUGGACCCCCUAGAAAACUUGUGCAUGAUAUGGCACUCGACUCGCUUUUGCUUUUGGACCUUCGAAAAUUUUGAACUGGGGGCCCCCUGAUAUUUUUUUUAUUAUUUAAUAACAUGCCACUGAUCAGCAGAACAGUUGAAUUAUGUUCAACAAAAAAAUUAUAAAGUAAAUGACCUUAACAAAGCUUAACCUCGAUUAGUAGGUUCAACAGGAUUAUGUUGUGUUCCAGAAUAAAUUUACAUUGAUCUUGAGGAUGGACCUAAAUAUUAGUGGGACAUUGAUUAAUUCAUUUUUAAAGCUGUUCAGAAAUCUAAUUGGUUAAAAUAUUUUUUGCAGGAGAUCCUUUGAAGAAGAAGUUGUGGUGUAAUACCUGUAACUUAAUCAUCAUCAUUAACUGAAUUUGAAGACUCUGUACUUGAAUCAUUUAAAGGAUUAGUGUCAGGGUCAUGCAUUGUGGGCUUUUGUUAUUGUUUACAUAUUACUCAAUACAUCAAAUAGUGAUAAAAAUACUUGUUUGGUACAUUUCUCAUAAAAAUCAGACAAAAAGAGCAAGGAUUUAUUUAUAAAAGGAUGGUUUAAAUAUAUGAUGGAUUGUAAACACUUUCCAGAUGACCUAAUCUAUUCGUCCCGAAAAAUGGCCGCCGGCAUGAGUUUGAGCCCGCAAAUUCUUAAAGGAAUGUUGAUGGUCACAGUGGUAGUACUAGUUGAUGGAACUGAACCAUAAACCUCCGACUAUAAGCCUUGGGCUUAUAUUAUUUUGUAAGCGAUUUUUGAUGGGAUUAUACAAGGGGGGGGCUUAUACAUGGAUGAUUUUUUGUGUUAGUGUAAUAGUAAUAAACAUAGUAAUAGUGAUAAAUAGUGGUAAUUAAGUGAUAAACAAUAGUGAUAAACAGGUGGGCUUAUAUUCAGGGGGGGCUUAUAUUUGGAAUGAGGUGAGCAUUAGUACACAGGGGGGGGGCAUAUAUUCGGAGGGCUUAUAUUCGGAGGUUUACAGUAUGGGUGCUCAGCCCAGAGUCUGAAAAUAAUAUUUAUAUACCUUUUAUUUAAUAACAUCACUGUAAAUGCAAGUAUUUUGUUUACAUUCGCAGCCUUUCAUACAUAUACCACAUAGGCGACAGAGCUAAAUGUACAUGUCACAAAAACUAUAUAUUCAUACACAUUAAAUACACAUUUGUAUGGAACACAUAAUUUUUUAGUAGUUCAAAAUAUAAAAGACAAAUUUCACAACAAAACAGAUUAAUAGGC